rnacentral:rRNA from 1 species
AGAGUUUGAUCCUGGCUCAGAACGAACGCUGGCGGCAGGCUUAACACAUGCAAGUCGAACGCACCGCAAGGUGAGUGGCAGACGGGUGAGUAACGCGUGGGAACGUGCCCUUCAGUUCGGGAUAACCCAGGGAAACUUGGGCUAAUACCGGAUACGUGCGAGAGCAGAAAGAUUUAUCGCUGAAGGAUCGGCCCGCGUCUGAUUAGCUAGUUGGUAGGGUAAUGGCCUACCAAGGCGACGAUCAGUAGCUGGUCUGAGAGGAUGAUCAGCCACAUUGGGACUGAGACACGGCCCAAACUCCUACGGGAGGCAGCAGUGGGGAAUAUUGGACAAUGGGCGCAAGCCUGAUCCAGCCAUGCCGCGUGAGUGAUGAAGGCCUUAGGGUUGUAAAGCUCUUUCGGCGGGGACGAUAAUGACGGUAUCCGCAGAAGAAGCCCCGGCUAACUUCGUGCCAGCAGCCGCGGUAAUACGAAGGGGGCUAGCGUUGUUCGGAAUCACUGGGCGUAAAGGGCGCGUAGGCGGCCUGAUAAGUCGGGGGUGAAAGCCUGUGGCUCAACCACAGAAUUGCCUUCGAUACUGUCGGGCUUGAGACCGGAAGAGGUCAGUGGAACUGCGAGUGUAGAGGUGAAAUUCGUAGAUAUUCGCAAGAACACCAGUGGCGAAGGCGGCUGACUGGUCCGGUUCUGACGCUGAGGCGCGAAAGCGUGGGGAGCAAACAGGAUUAGAUACCCUAGUAGUCC